rnacentral:rRNA from 1 species
GAUGAACGCUGGCGGCGUGCCUAAUACAUGCAAGUCGAGCGAACGGACGAGAAGCUUGCUUCUCUGAUGUUAGCGGCGGACGGGUGAGUAACACGUGGAUAACCUACCUAUAAGACUGGGAUAACUUCGGGAAACCGGAGCUAAUACCGGAUAAUAUUUUGAACCGCAUGGUUCAAAAGUGAAAGACGGUCUUGCUGUCACUUAUAGAAGGAUCCGCGCUGCAUUAGCUAGUUGGUAAGGUAACGGCUUACCAAGGCAACGAUGCAUAGCCGACCUGAGAGGGUGAUCGGCCACACUGGAACUGAGACACGGUCCAGACUCCUACGGGAGGCAGCAGUAGGGAAUCUUCCGCAAUGGGCGAAAGCCUGACGGAGCAACGCCGAGUGAGUGAUGAAGGUCUUCGGAUCGUAAAACUCUGUUAUUAGGGAAGAACAUAUGUGUAAGUAACUGUGCACAUCUUGACGGUACCUAAUCAGAAAGCCACGGCUAACUACGUG